UGGGGAAUAUUGCACAAUGGGCGCAAGCCUGAUGCAGCCAUGCCGCGUGUAUGAAGAAGGCCUUCGGGUUGUAAAGUACUUUCAGCGGGGAGGAAGGUAGUAAAGUUAAUACCUUUGCUCAUUGACGUUACCCGCAGAAGAAGCACCGGCUAACUCCGUGCCAGCAGCUGCGGUAAUACGGAGGGUGCAAGCGUUAAUCGGAAUUACUGGGCGUAAAGCGCACGCAGGCGGUUUGUUAAGUCAGAUGUGAAAUCCUCGGGCUCAACCUGGGAACUGCAUCUGAUACUGGCAAGCUUGAGUCUCGUAGAGGGGGGUAGAAUUCCAGGUGUAGCGGUGAAAUGCGUAGAGAUCUGGAGGAAUACCGGUGGCGAAGGCGGCCCCCUGGACGAAGACUGACGCUCAGGUGCGAAAGCGUGGGGAGCAAACAGG
rnacentral:rRNA from 1 species